GCCCUGGUGGCAUAAUGGUUAAGCAUUUGGCUUCUAACCCAAAGGUUGGCGGUUUGAACCUACCCAGUGGCU
rfam:Loxodonta africana unplaced genomic scaffold scaffold_5, whole genome shotgun sequence.